rnacentral:rRNA from 1 species
AUGAACGCUAGCUACAGGCUUAACACAUGCAAGUCGAGGGGCAGCAUGGUCUUAGCUUGCUAAGACUGAUGGCGACCGGCGCACGGGUGAGUAACACGUAUCCAACCUGCCGUCUACUCUUGGACAGCCUUCUGAAAGGAAGAUUAAUACAAGAUGGCAUCAUGAGUCCGCAUGUUCACAUGAUUAAAGGUAUUCCGGUAGACGAUGGGGAUGCGUUCCAUUAGAUAGUAGGCGGGGUAACGGCCCACCUAGUCUUCGAUGGAUAGGGGUUCUGAGAGGAAGGUCCCCCACAUUGGAACUGAGACACGGUCCAAACUCCUACGGGAGGCAGCAGUGAGGAAUAUUGGUCAAUGGGCGAGAGCCUGAACCAGCCAAGUAGCGUGAAGGAUGACUGCCCUAUGGGUUGUAAACUUCUUUUAUAAAGGAAUAAAGUCGGGUAUGGAUACCCGUUUGCAUGUACUUUAUGAAUAAGGAACGGCUAACUCCGUGCCAGCAGCCGCGGUAAUACGGAGGAUCCGAGCGUUAUCCGGAUUUAUUGGGUUUAAAGGGAGCGUAGAUGGAUGUUUAAGUCAGUUGUGAAAGUUUGCGGCUCAACCGUAAAAUUGCAGUUGAUACUGGAUAUCUUGAGUGCAGUUGAGGCAGGCGGAAUUCGUGGUGUAGCGGUGAAAUGCUUAGAUAUCACGAAGAACUCCGAUUGCGAAGGCAGCCUGCUAAGCUGCAACUGACAUUGAGGCUCGAAAGUGUGGGUAUCAAACAGGAUUAGAUACCCUGGUAGUCCACACGGUAAACGAUGAAUACUCGCUGUUUGCGAUAUACUGCAAGCGGCCAAGCGAAAGCGUUAAGUAUUCCACCUGGGGAGUACGCCGGCAACGGUGAAACUCAAAGGAAUUGACGGGGGCCCGCACAAGCGGAGGAACAUGUGGUUUAAUUCGAUGAUACGCGAGGAACCUUACCCGGGCUUAAAUUGCAGAUGAAUUACGGUGAAAGCCGUAAGCCGCAAGGCAUCUGUGAAGGUGCUGCAUGGUUGUCGUCAGCUCGUGCCGUGAGGUGUCGGCUUAAGUGCCAUAACGAGCGCAACCCUUGUUGUCAGUUACUAACAGGUUCCGCUGAGGACUCUGACAAGACUGCCAUCGUAAGAUGUGAGGAAGGUGGGGAUGACGUCAAAUCAGCACGGCCCUUACGUCCGGGGCUACACACGUGUUACAAUGGGGGGUACAGAGGGCCGCUACCACGCGAGUGGAUGCCAAUCCCCAAAACCUCUCUCAGUUCGGACUGGAGUCUGCAACCCGACUCCACGAAGCUGGAUUCGCUAGUAAUCGCGCAUCAGCCACGGCGCGGUGAAUACGUUCCCGGGCCUUGUACACACCGCCCGUCAAGCCAUGGGAGCCGGGGGUACCUGAAGUGCGUAACCGCGAGGAGCGCCCUAGGGUAAAACUGGUGACUGGGGCU